rnacentral:rRNA from 1 species
UACGGAGGGUGCAAGCGUUAAUCGGAAUUACUGGGCGUAAAGCGUGCGCAGGCGGCUUUGCAAGACAGAUGUGAAAUCCCCGGGCUUAACCUGGGAACUGCAUUUGUGACUGCAUGGCUGGAGUGCGGCAGAGGGGGAUGGAAUUCCGCGUGUAGCAGUGAAAUGCGUAAAUAUGCGGAGGAACACCGAUGGCGAAGGCAAUCCCCUGGGCCUGCACUGACGCUCAUGCACGAAAGCGUGGGGAGCAAACAGG